AAUGAUUGGACCAAUGGUUUAGCUCCGCCCCCUCUCAGCCUGACCGAGGAGCCUGGCCGAAGGAACUGCGAUCCCAAAGAGGAGGAAGAGUAACGCAGGCCAAUGAGUGGGUGAUAGGACGGAGGAGAGAGUCUACAUUCUCCAAACGUGUUGCUGUGUAGUUCAUGUCGCAUGAUGAAGAUUGUAAUAAUAUUGUUAGUAGUGAUCUGGGUACCGGCUACAGCGAUACCAGGAAUGUGUCAUUUCACCCCCCAAGUUACAGCACAAGUGUGACAAAAUGUCACUCUGCAGUGCUGUUUUGAUGCUUCAUUGAAUUUAAGAACUCGGACAGUUGACUGGAAAAAAAGAUGACAAGCAGGUGGUCCACGUCUACCGCGAUAGAAAGACUGUCCUGAUCU
rnacentral:lncRNA from 1 species